CAUGUACUCAUCAGGUCUUGACCUUGUGGAGUCAGUCCCUCAGUAGGGAUUCUUCCCUUGAGGCUUUUGUCUCAAAGUCAGUAGGUGAGGAAGCUACUCAUUAUCUAGCCACUGCCCCUCUCCCUAUCUGGAGCCUGCCGGGAAGUCUGUCCAACUUUUACCCUAACGGACAACAAUACCAGCUUCUGGUAACAGGAAAGAAGAUGGGCGGCCACAGACUCCACCUGGAGCAAAGAACUGCCUCACGGCUCACCCGAGGCCUGGGUUCUGCCCAAACUGUGGACACUGUGGGGUUGACUGUCCUACUCGGCCUCUCCAAGAUAGUUUUUCCCAAAUUCCACAGGAAAAUCUCUUAGACCUUCUGGGUCUGGUGGCUGAGGGCUGAUUGCUGCCCACUACACUAUCCUGUGUGGCUGCAAAACUCUGUUAACCUCUGCUCACAACAAAGCCAUGGAGAUCACCAUCCUGGCUGUCCAGGUGGCAGGUUCACUCAGCAAACCAGACGCUGCCCCCCACCCCCACCCCCAGCCCAGCCUUUAACUUGGAAUUCCGGCUUCAACCCUUCCCAUCUAAGAAGCAGCUACAGACAAGAGACACUACAUCACCCUUUAUCAUCAACAAAAGCCUGGAAUAUUAGUUCUCUCAGCUGUCCAAAUAUACGGGAAAUGAGCUCAAGCUAGACUAUACGAAGAUUUCUGGAGGCUAAAUAAAAGCCACCAUGCCUCGGGAACUUUUGAAAGCA